UGUGUGUGUGUGUGCGUGUGUGCGUGCGAUUGCAGUGUGGGAUAAUGCACUUCAAGAUGAAAGCACCAGGGAUACUUGUAAUGACAAGAGACUCGAACAGUGCGGCCUGACAGGAGGUGACCAGUGACCUUCCCGUACACACGACGAUCCUACUUCACAAGAACAGCCUCUCUAACUUUGGAAGGACAUGACAGCCUCUUGCUGUGCUUUGGUUGGAUCAGUUUCACAAAUGACACAUAUCACAUCAUUCCUGGGGCGGCUGCGGUUGGGGCGGCAGAGCAGGUCGUCUAGUAAUCGGGAAGGCGUCCCUUCUCCUUCGUCACGGCAUCAAUCAAGCAAACAGCAGAGUCCUCAGUUGUGGGUUGUAACUGGUGGUUCACUGACAGUUCAGGAAGCUUAUUUCCUCCCAGAGGUGACAUACACUGUAAUGUUCUCUCCCAUCUCCCAUUUCCUUCUGUUGAUGAGUUUCCAUCUAAGCCUGCAGCAGCAGAAACAAAGACAGCUUCACUCCACAUAUCUUCAUCUAAACCUGGGUUACUACGGCUGAUGAUGCUGAAUCCUCAAGUCAAGCAUUUAAACCUUAAUUUGAUAAAAACAUCAUUCAACACAUAAAAUCCAUGCUCUAUAAAUAUCUUUUUAUUUUUUUCACCUGCUAAUUUUCUUGGCAUUUUUCAAAAGCCAAGUAUGUUUCCUCAAAAUGUUCCUCUACAGAUCUAACAAGUGAACCCUAAGUGGCAUAAUGGCCAUAAAUGGUCCUCCAUUACAUUCAGCAACUUCAGAAACUCUGCACCCUUUUCAUCCUCAUUAAAGCAGCUUCUGAAAGGGAUGAUGAAUAUCAUCAAAACAAUUUUAUGUCUGGUCCCCCGCGGAAAAGAUGAAGCCCUUCCUUGUGAACUCAAAGCACAAACAUCAGAGGCCAGCUAGAAGAUUUUCUUUUCAUCCUCAUAAUGCAACUUGGUCAGACUUUAAUAUUUGAUGCCAACUGAAAUGUGACUAUUGUUGUCCAAAGAACACAUAUGGAUGAUUAAAGCAGUAAUGAUGCUUAGAAUAAAUGCUUGGUAAUAUGUUCAGCAGCUGUGUGGCCAUAACAGUUUUCCCCCUUUCAAAACCAUAAUAAUGGGCUUCAACAUCUACAGCAGUGCCAUGAUGGAUUUUACAAUAAAGUGUUUUUCACGUUGUUUUAUGUUUAUGACCAGCUAUUGAUAUAUUGUCCAUUUUUAGAGGGCAGCUCAUUGUUUCUACACAAAAUAACAAACAGUAAAUCGUGAACAGAGGGCUUAUGUUGGACAGUGCAUUUUUCAGGCAAUCAGUCAGCAUCAACAAAAUGAUGAGAAAAAUGACUCCAAAUGUUACACUUCUUCUCAUCCUCUUCAUCUUGUUGCAGGAAAUAAGGCCAUAUUAUUAGCACCACUGUUAACACAGUUUUAUGAGUAUUUAAACUCACUAAUAAUUAAAUACUCCUGCAUUUCCUUGGUAACAUGGCACACAGUAUUGCAAUUCCAAAUUUUGCUUUAUUUGGCCAAAAGAGGUUGAUAUUCAGUCUUCUACUCAGAAUCCCUAUUUGGGGUUUUACUUGCAGAUGGCACGCUAUUAUGUUGGUUGUAUUUGUGGCUUGAGCCAUCCAGUAGCUCAUAAACAGAGUUAAGUCUCAAAUUACUUGUCUUAGAAUUGGCUGGUCAACGCUACACCAAACCUCCACUCAAGUGGACUCAUAGAUGAAUUACCCUGCUGAUGAAUUGAAUCUAUGCAGACAACAUGUUACCCUUUACCCUAUUUCUGUGGACUACUUGUUUGUUCCUACACAGCAUAUUUUCCUUCCACCAUUCAUCCAUCGCCUUCUGCUUAUCAAGUUAAGGGUUCCUGGAGCAUGCUGGAGCCUAUUCCAGCUACCAUAGGGCCAUGAGACAGGGUAUUCCCCAGACAAGUCGCCAGCCUCCUCCUUUCAAAGAAAAAAUCAAACUACCACAGAAAACUCCUAUUUUCUGUGAGCGCAGCUGCAGCUGUUCUACUUGACUGUGUUGGAGAUAAUGGUAUUGCUUCUAGUUGGAUUUUAUCUGCCUUUUCUGUUGAACACAUGAUGUUAUUGACAUUUCUAGCUAUGUCGUAACUAGCCUAUUUGAACUUGUUAUUUUCUCAGUAAUGGCAGAUGUGUUCACCACAAGGAGGGGGUCCAAUCCAACACACAGUCAGCACAGCCAUUACAUUGUGCCCUCACACAAGAAGUAUAUGUAUUUGGUGUCAUACUUAUAAACUCAAAUACAACGGUGCCUUCCCAUGGGCCAUAGUUAAUAAAUCGUUAGUUCAUUGAUAAUUUGAAAAGUAAAUAUAAAGUUUUUCAGGUGAAGUAAGUGAGCUUUUCAUGGCAACAUAGCACAAAAUAAGAAUGAUAUCUUUAGUAGAAAAGCUGUAGAUUCACAACAAUGACUUGGAAAUAAUCUUAGAGAGGGGUUUUUUUGUUUGUUUUUUACUUUGAGAAGGUGCUUUUUAAUUAGCUGUACACAUAAUCUGCUCCUGAGGGUCUUUUUGGUGAUAGUAAUUCUUUGGUCACUCAUGCAGUUCAAUUUUAACUGGCUGAAUUUCCUUUGAGGUACACUUUGUGUUAAACUGUCUAGUGGAAAACGAAGACAAAAGGAAAACCCAAUGUUGUGAAACAUCAUCAUGAAAUAUAUAUAAACGCACACAUUUUCAUUGAUUUAAGGUUGCACUUAAACAUUCGUUCGUGUGUGUGUGUAUAUAUAAUUUCAUGAAAGAGGAUUUAGGAAAAAAUGGACAAGGGAGAAUUUCAACAAGUCAAGAGUUAUGGGCACUAGAAUAUGCAGAAAGCCCCAGUUAAUAAUGAAUGAAGCACCUUAACUGAUGGGCAUUGAAAUAUGGCAGCAACUUUCUCCUCCAUCAAGUCCUUGGUUCAAUAAACCAGUCAUAAAAUCCUACUUAUAUGGACCGCAUAAAUAGUUUCCAAUUCUACUAUAAAUAAUCUCAAAGAUGAAACAUAGAUUAAGCAUCACAAAUCACAACAGGGAAUAAACAGACAAAUCUGGAUGCUUCUAAUAAUUUUAAAUCCAAAUUAUAUUCAGACUAAGAUGUCAAGUAGAAAAAUUUUAUUAGAAUUUUUACAGAAUGUAAAAUCAUUUUAAUUAACCAGUUAUUUAUAUAUUAAAGUUUAAAAACAGAUACAGAUGUGCCCCAUCAUACAACCAAACCAUUACUUGGGCUCAUCCCUCCCAUACAGCAGCAGCAUGAGGGAUUCAGUAGUAUUGUCAUGCAGCUUGACAUUCCUUCAAUACCAUUAGUUGGCUGACUACAGCUGCAGUACAGUAACGGAUCCUACACUGGAUACUGACUCCGACAUGUACAGAAAAAGAAGAGAAAAAACACAUUUGUUGUCCCAGGAGGUCUUGGUUUGAAUGACAUCAUACACACAAAAAAAGGCAUUGAUUAAAGCCAGGCACCUAUUUGUGGGUAAAAGUGUGUGAGGUCUAA